rnacentral:rRNA from 1 species
GAGUUUGAUCCUGGCUCAGAACGAACGCUGGCGGCAUGCCUAACACAUGCAAGUCGAACGAGAUCUUCGGAUCUAGUGGCGCACGGGUGCGUAACGCGUGGGAAUCUGCCCUUGGGUGCGGAAUAACUUCUCGAAAGGGAUGCUAAUACCGCAUAAUGUCGUAAGACCAAAGAUUUAUCGCCCAAGGAUGAGCCCGCGUAAGAUUAGCUAGUUGGUGGGGUAAAAGCCUACCAAGGCGACGAUCUUUAGCUGGUCUGAGAGGAUGAUCAGCCACACUGGGACUGAGACACGGCCCAGACUCCUACGGGAGGCAGCAGUGGGAAUAUUGGACAAUGGGCGAAAGCCUGAUCCAGCAAUGCCGCGUGAGUGAUGAAGGCCCUAGGGUUGUAAAGCUCUUUACCCGGGAUGAUAAUGACAGUACCGGAGGAAUAAGCUCCGGCUAACUCCGUGCCAGCAGCCGCA